UGCCCCAUGGCUGAGUUGGUUACAGCGUCCGACUGUUACGUUCUUGCUGACAUCGGAAGGUCGUGAGUUCGAGCCUCACUGGGGCAG
rfam:Ceriporiopsis subvermispora B unplaced genomic scaffold CERSTscaffold_13, whole genome shotgun sequence.